GGGGUUAGCGAAUGAUGAUUCAAUUCUUGAACUCUCUCCCUGAGAUCUUGAUGACGAUAAGAAUACUGAUCUCUCC
ensembl:snoRNA SNORD81 Small nucleolar RNA SNORD81